AUUUCCAAGGUGGUGUACGAGCCCGUCUGAAGCCCCUCAUUUUCCGUUCUGCCUUCCGAUUGCCACGAGAAAGAAUCCCUUCCUCCACUGCAGUUCCGGCUUAGAACAGGACACAGUGCAGGUGCAACCACUGAACCGUCAUGCUAGCUGUUCCGAACAAGGCCUGGCAAGAACUUGGCAAGGACUUGGCAAGGACUUGGCAAAGACCUGACGUGGACCCAGCACGGGACAGCCUGAUGCGCGGCCUGCUUCUAAUCUCCGUUCUUAAGCCAAAUGAACUUUUGGGGUGACUCCCGGGGUCCUUCAUUGAAGACCCCUCAUCUGCCUCGUUACCAGUGUGACAAACAAAGAAUGAGAACCCUCCUCCCAAGGACUGAGACUGAGACCCCUGCUAUAGGGAGGAGGGGAAAUUGGUGGUCUGACCACUAAUGACAUGACCUGUUUCCCUUCAGUGAUUCAAAUGGACUUAUUCUUCAUUGUAUUCGUCUUGCUUUGGUGGUUUCUGUGGACUCAGCUGUUCCCGCGUGGCGAUUACAAUGGACUUUCGUUGUUCCACUUGCUCCCCCCUCUUUCCUCUGUGGACUAUAACUGGAGCCCCGAGUCGACCAGAACUUCGGAGACUCCCCCGACACGACAGACGGAUCCCCAUCGUCCGGACCACUGAGGAUCUCGCCUGUGUUGAAGAACUCCGAGGGACAUGAAGACCACCUAAUCCAUGAUCAAACUGGCUUGGACAACCUGGCUGCGACAGUGGAACCCUCCUAAAAAGCGGGUGCCAAGAGACAUAACUGGUGUUGUGGGAACAGAAUUGGGAAUCAGUUCAGAGGUAUUAAUGAAUAAAUUGGCUUCUACGACUAGAGAUUUGACCAAAAUACAGCAACCACUGCAGUCGUCCUUAUCGGCCUUGGGAACACAUCAGUGCUUGCUAUCAAACAUUCUACCAAAUUGGGAAAAGAUAAAUGUGAAGGAUAAAAAAUUGAUCAUUGAUGCACUUAAUGCCACACAAAGCAAUGUUUCCUUAGCUCUUAGCUGUAUCCAGGCUCAAUUAUGGAUGC